rnacentral:rRNA from 2 species
AGCGGCGGACGGGUGACUAACACGUGGGUAACCUGCCCAUAAGACUGGGAUAACUCCGGGAAACCGGGGCUAAUACCGGAUAACAUUUUGAACCGCAUGGUUCGAAAUUGAAAGGCGGCUUCGGCUGUCACUUAUGGAUGGACCCGCGUCGCAUUAGCUAGUUGGUGAGGUAACGGCUCACCAAGGCAACGAUGCGUAGCCGACCUGAGAGGGUGAUCGGCCACACUGGGACUGAGACACGGCCCAGACUCCUACGGGAGGCAGCAGUAGGGAAUCUUCCGCAAUGGACGAAAGUCUGACGGAGCAACGCCGCGUGAGUGAUGAAGGCUUUCGGGUCGUAAAACUCUGUUGUUAGGGAAGAACAAGUGCUAGUUGA